AUUGAACGCUGGCGGCAUGCCUUACACAUGCAAGUCGAACGGCAGCACGGGAGCAAUCCUGGUGGCGAGUGGCGAACGGGUGAGUAAUAUAUCGGAACGUGCCCAGUCGUGGGGGAUAACGUAGCGAAAGCUACGCUAAUACCGCAUACGAUCUACGGAUGAAAGCGGGGGAUCGCAAGACCUCGCGCGAUUGGAGCGGCCGAUAUCAGAUUAGGUAGUUGGUGAGGUAAAGGCUCACCAAGCCGACGAUCUGUAGCUGGUCUGAGAGGACGACCAGCCACACUGGGACUGAGACACGGCCCAGACUCCUACGGGAGGCAGCAGUGGGGGAAUUUUGGACAAUGGGCGCAAGCCUGAUCCAGCAAUGCCGCGUGCAGGAUGAAGGCCUUCGG
rnacentral:rRNA from 1 species